rnacentral:misc_RNA from 1 species
GAAAUGCGAUAAGUAAUGUGAAUUGCAGAAUUCAGUGAAUCAUCGAAUCUUUGAAAGCACCUUGCGCCCCUUGGUAUUCCUUGGAGCAUGCCUGUUUGAGUAUCAUGAAAUCUUCAAAGUAAAUCUUUUGUUAACUCAAUUGGUUUCUACUUUGGUAUUGGAGGUCUUUGCAGCUUCACACCUGCUCCUCUUUGUUCAUUAGCUGGAUCUCAGUGUUAUGCUUGGUUCCACUCGGCGUGAUAAGUUAUCUAUCGCUGAGGACACUGUAAAAGGUGGCCAAGGUAAAUGCAGAUGAACCGCUUCUAAUAGUCCAUUGACUUGGACAAUACUUUUAUGAUCUGAUCUCAAAUCAGGUAGGACUACCCGCUGAACUUAAGC